AUACGGAAGGCAGCAGUGAGGAAUAUUGCGCAAUGGGGGAAACCCUGACGCAGCAACGCCGCGUGAAGGAUGAAGGCCUUCGGGUUGUAAACUUCUUUGAUGAGGGACGAAUAAUGACGGUACCUCAAAAACAAGCCACGGCUAACUACGUGCCAGCAGCCGCGGUAAUACGUAGGUGGCGAGCGUUGUCCGGAAUUACUGGGUGUAAAGGGCGUGUAGGCGGGAAUGCAAGUCAGAUGUGAAAUGCCAUGGCUCAACUGUGGACCUGCAUCUGAAACUGCGUUUCUUGAGUGCUGGAGAGGAAAGCGGAAUUCCUAGUGUAGCGGUGAAAUGCGUAGAUAUUAGGAGGAACACCAGUGGCGAAGGCGGCUUUCUGGACAGUAACUGACGCUGAGGCGCGAAAGCGUGGGGAGCAAACAGGAUUAGAUACCCCGGUAGC
rnacentral:rRNA from 1 species